rnacentral:rRNA from 1 species
UACGUAGGGUGCAAGCGUUGUCCGGAAUUAUUGGGCGUAAAGAGCUCGUAGGCGGCUUGUCGCGUCGGCUGUGAAAACCUAGGGCUCAACCCUGGGCCUGCAGCCGAUACGGGCAAGCUAGAAUUCGGUAGGGGAGACUGGAAUUCCUGGUGUAGCGGUGAAAUGCGCAGAUAUCAGGAAGAACACCCGUGGCGAAGGCGGCUCUCUGGGACGGUACUGACGCUGAGACGCGAAAGCGUGGGGAGCGAACAGG